rnacentral:rRNA from 1 species
AGAAUCAACGCUGGCGGCGUGCCUAACACAUGCAAGUCGCACGAGAAAGGGUAGCAAUACCUGAGUAAAGUGGCGCACGGGUGAGUAACACGUGAAUGAUCUACCUCCGAGUGGGGAAUAACUGAGAGAAAUCUUAGCUAAUACCGCAUAACACUUACGAGUCAAAGCAGCAAUGCGCUUGGAGAGGAGUUCGCGGCUGAUUAGCUAGUUGGCGGGGUAACGGCCCACCAAGGCUUUGAUCGGUA